UUUGUCAAAAUUCGAACGCGUCUCUGGAUCCCAAUAUAAACACAUGAACUAUAUGAAACGACAAUCCUGCUUCGUUUUCCUGCCUCGCCUCUUGCUUUCUCUUUUUACUCUUUCACCAGCUCGAGUACGCUUCCCAGCUGAAACCCCUGCAGCCGAACGGAGCCAUCUUCCUGGUUGACAAGCAAACCACCGUACUCACCCCCUUCUUCCAGCACCUCAAAAACUAUCCACACCAGUCGAGUCUCAGAGAGAGAGAGAGAGAGAGAGAGGGGGAGAGAGAGAGUCGUGCACUGCAAUGGGAAAGCAUCGCUCAAAGCAACAACGCAAGCGCGUUAGAGACACCGAUGCUUCGAGUCCGAACAUUUCGAAGCGACCAAGACCUGACGUGCCAUCGGCGUCCGGAGCGAAUUCUGACCCACCUGCUUCAUCCACCUCUGUGAAUGGAAAUAAUUACUAUGUAUUCUUGAGCUUUAGAGGCCCUGAUACUCGCAAAGGCUUCGUCGAUCACCUCUACCAAAGACUCAAAGCUGUGGGCCUGAGGUACCAUCCAAACUUUGUGUUCAGAGAUGAUGAGGACCUCCCCUUCGGCGAGAAUAUUGGUGAAAAUCUCAUCAGGGCAAUCGAGCGCUCUAAGGUUUCAAUCCCAGUCAUCUCUGAAAAUUAUGCUGAUAGCGAAUGGUGCCUCCGUGAGCUCAUCCAUAUAAUGAAGUGCAAGGAAAGCAGAGGACAAAUGGUCUUGCCCGUGCUUUACAAGGUGACACCCAAGGAUGUCCGAAAACUAAAGGGGGCCUUUGGAAAGGCCUACAAAUCCUGUAAGGAUAAAUUUGAGGAGGAGGUCAAGCAACAAGGGCCACUAGCUCUCAGAAAAGCAGUUGCUCUUAAAGUAUUCGAAUCAGAGAAAUUUGCUGAUGGGCAUGAAGGGGAAUUGGUAAAUGAACUCAUAGAAAUAAUAUUGCGUGAGCAGCAACAUGAUUUUCAACCACAUCUUCCCGUAAACUUGGUUGCAAUCAACGAUCGUGUCGCCAAGGUCAUGGAAUUGAUGGAUCUUGCUUGCCCGGACACUCAAAUUAUUGGGAUUUGGGGGAUGGGCGGCAUCGGUAAGACAACUCUGGCUACGAUCAUCUAUAAAAAUCUUUUUGACAAUUUUGAGUGCCGCAGCUCUCUCAAGGAUAUUAGAGAGACAGCUAAAAGCAACAAGGGUAUGAGGCAUGUCCAAUCUCUAUUGAUCUCAGAUAUGACCUCAAAAAAGAAAAGUACAGUGCGUGAUCCUGAGAUGGGAAUUAAUAUGAUCCGAUCAAGUUGUGAAAAUAAGAAGGUACUUAUUCUUCUUGACGAUGUGGAUCAUCAAGACCAACUCGAUAAAUUGAUUGGACAUUGCAAUUUCGGGUCAGGAAGUAGGAUCAUAAUUACAUGUCGAGAUAAGGCCAUCUUGAAGUCAGAAUAUGAAAUGUAUGAACUCAAAGAAAUGAAUCACGAAGACUCUAUGCUUCUGUUUAGUAGAUGUGCAUUUGAAGAGGAACAACCUCCCACUGAUCUCGCAGCCCUUUCUAGUAAUAUUGUUGCCACCACAGGAGGGCUUCCCUUGGCUCUCAUCGUUAUAGGUUCACUUCUCAAAGAAAAAGAUCGAAAAGAGUGGGAAGAGACUUUGCAGAAAUUGAGGAAUGCACCUAAUGAGACUGUGCAAGAAAAGUUGAGGAUAAGUUAUGAUACAUUAACAUAUAAGGAGCAACAGAUGUUUCUAGACAUUGCAUGUUUUUUCAUUGGAACUGACAAAACAAUUGCCACCUACUUUUGGGCGGACCUCGAAUUCUUCCCAAUAACCGGAUUGCGAAUAUUGAUUAACCGUUCGUUAAUAAAAAUUGAUGACAAUAAUCAAUUUGAGAAUGCAUGAUCAAUUAAGAGAUCUAGGUAGAGUUAUCGCCUGUCCAGCAGAUAAGAAGCCUUGGGAUUGUAGCAGACUAUGGGACAAGGAGAAAGUCAUGAAAGUUCUACGUCGUGAGGUGGAAAAUGAAAAUAUUGAGGCACUACGUCUAGACCAAAGGGGCUCCAAAGAGUUCAUGAGGCGAGAAAGCUUUAAAAAAAUGCCUAACUUGAAGUUCCUUCAUGUGAAGGAUGUGGAUUUUGAUGGAGAUUUCGAAGAAUCACUCACUGAAUUAAGAUGGCUAGAGUGGGAGGAAUGCCGCGACUCUUUGGAGAUGACCAACUUUCAUUUGGAGAAAUUAGUCGUACUUGAUUUAUCAGACGAUUACAAAGGUGGAAGCUGUAUUAGUGAAAAUUGGAGAGGAUGGAGUUCAAUUAAGAUGGAGAGGUUGAAAGUUCUCAAUCUUUCGUGGUGCUCGAAAUU